UCGUCACACUAUCAUUAACUGAAUCCAUAGGUUAAUGAGGCGAACCGGGGGAACUGAAACAUCUAAGUACCCCGAGGAAAAGAAAUCAACCGAGAUUCCCCCAGUAGCGGCGAGCGAACGGGGAGGAGCCCAGAGCCUGAAUCAGCAUGUGUGUUAGUGGAAGCGUCUGGAAAGGCGCGCGAUACAGGGUGACAGCCCCGUACACAAAAGCGCAUGUGCUGUGAGCUCGAUGAGUAGGGCGGGACACGUGGUAUCCUGUCUGAAUAUGGGGGGACCAUCCUCCAAGGCUAAAUACUCCUGACUGACCGAUAGUGAACCAGUACCGUGAGGGAAAGGCGAAAAGAACCCCGGCGAGGGGAGUGAAAAAGAACCUGAAACCGUGUACGUACAAGCAGUGGGAGCACCCUUUGGGUGUGACUGCGUACCUUUUGUAUAAUGGGUCAGCGACUUAUAUUCUGUAGCAAGGUUAACCGAAUAGGGGAGCCGGAGGGAAACCGAGUCUUAACCGGGCGUUAAGUUGCAGGGUAUAGACCCGAAACCCGGUGAUCUAGCCAUGGGCAGGUUGAAGGUUGGGUAACACUAACUGGAGGACCGAACCGACUAAUGUUGAAAAAUUAGCGGAUGACCUGUGGCUGGGGGUGAAAGGCCAAUCAAACCGGGAGAUAGCUGGUUCUCCCCGAAAGCUAUUUAGGUAGCGCCUCGUGAAUUCAUCUCCGGGGGUAGAGCACUGUUUCGGCUAGGGGGCCAUCCCGGCUUACCAACCCGAUGCAAACUGCGAAUACCGGAGAAUGUUAUCACGGGAGACACACGGCGGGUGCUAACGUCCGUCGUGAAGAGGGAAACAACCCAGACCGCCAGCUAAGGUCCCAAAGUCAUGGUUAAGUGGGAAACGAUGUGGGAAGGCCCAGACAGCCAGGAUGUUGGCUUAGAAGCAGCCAUCAUUUAAAGAAAGCGUAAUAGCUCACUGGUCGAGUCGGCCUGCGCGGAAGAUGUAACGGGGCUAAACCAUGCACCGAAGCUGCGGCAGCGACACUGUGUGUUGUUGGGUAGGGGAGCGUUCUGUAAGCCUGCGAAGGUGGCCUGUGAGGGUUGCUGGAGGUAUCAGAAGUGCGAAUGCUGACAUAAGUAACGAUAAAGCGGGUGAAAAGCCCGCUCGCCGGAAGACCAAGGGUUCCUGUCCAACGUUAAUCGGGGCAGGGUGAGUCGACCCCUAAGGCGAGGCCGAAAGGCGUAGUCGAUGGGAAACGGGUUAAUAUUCCCGUACUUGGUGUUACUGCGAAGGGGGGACGGAGAAGGCUAUGUUGGCCGGGCGACGGUUGUCCCGGUUUAAGCGUGUAGGUGUGUGUUCCAGGUAAAUCCGGUUCACUUUAACACUGAGGCGUGACGACGAGGCACUACGGUGCUGAAGCAACAAAUGCCCUGCUUCCAGGAAAAGCCUCUAAGCAUCAGGUAACAUCAAAUCGUACCCCAAACCGACACAGGUGGUCAGGUAGAGAAUACCAAGGCGCUUGAGAGAACUCGGGUGAAGGAACUAGGCAAAAUGGUGCCGUAACUUCGGGAGAAGGCACGCUGACACGUAGGUGAAGUGAUUUACUCAUGGAGCUGAAGUCAGUCGAAGAUACCAGCUGGCUGCAACUGUUUAUUAAAAACACAGCACUGUGCAAACACGAAAGUGGACGUAUACGGUGUGACGCCUGCCCGGUGCCGGAAGGUUAAUUGAUGGGGUCAGCGCAAGCGAAGCUCCUGAUCGAAGCCCCGGUAAACGGCGGCCGUAACUAUAACGGUCCUAAGGUAGCGAAAUUCCUUGUCGGGUAAGUUCCGACCUGCACGAAUGGCGUAAUGAUGGCCAGGCUGUCUCCACCCGAGACUCAGUGAAAUUGAACUCGCUGUGAAGAUGCAGUGUACCCGCGGCAAGACGGAAAGACCCCGUGAACCUUUACUAUAGCUUGACACUGAACAUUGAGCCUUGAUGUGUAGGAUAGGUGGGAGGCUUUGAAGUGUGGACGCCAGUCUGCAUGGAGCCGACCUUGAAAUACCACCCUUUAAUGUUUGAUGUUCUAACGUGGACCCGUUACCCGGGUUGCGGACAGUGUCUGGUGGGUAGUUUGACUGGGGCGGUCUCCUCCUAAAGAGUAACGGAGGAGCACGAAGGUUGGCUAAUCCUGGUCGGACAUCAGGAGGUUAGUGCAAUGGCAUAAGCCAGCUUGACUGCGAGCGUGACGGCGCGAGCAGGUGCGAAAGCAGGUCAUAGUGAUCCGGUGGUUCUGAAUGGAAGGGCCAUCGCUCAACGGAUAAAAGGUACUCCGGGGAUAACAGGCUGAUACCGCCCAAGAGUUCAUAUCGACGGCGGUGUUUGGCACCUCGAUGUCGGCUCAUCACAUCCUGGGGCUGAAGUAGGUCCCAAGGGUAUGGCUGUUCGCCAUUUAAAGUGGUACGCGAGCUGGGUUUAGAACGUCGUGAGACAGUUCGGUCCCUAUCUGCCGUGGGCGCUGGAGAACUGAGGGGGGCUGCUCCUAGUACGAGAGGACCGGAGUGGACGCAUCACUGGUGUUCGGGUUGUCAUGCCAAUGGCACUGCCCGGUAGCUAAAUGCGGAAGAGAUAAGUGCUGAAAGCAUCUAAGCACGAAACUUGCCCCGA
rnacentral:rRNA from 1 species